CUUAACUUUUACUUGGUUUAUUAGUCACGUAACAUUGAUUAACUUCUAUUAAGUUUUUAAGAAGCUUAACUUUUUAUUGCCAGGGCUUAACAGGACUAUCUAAUGAAAUCUGUGAAAAAAAAAGCUGCUUAAAUGUUAAUAAUCUUGAAGUGUGCUAAUUAUUUUGUUUAUUUCCCAAAGGGAUGUCCGUCGCUUGGUAGUGGCCAUGUCUAGAGCCAGACUUGGACUUUAUAUCUUCGCCAGAGUAUCCCUCUUCCAAAACUGUUUUGAACUGACUCCAGCUUUCAGUCAGCUCACAGCUCGCCCCCUUCAUUUGCAUAUAAUUCCAACAGAACCUUUCCCAACUACUAGAAAGAAUGGAGAGAGACCAUCUCAUGAAGUACAAAUAAUAAAAAAUAUGCCCCAGAUGGCAAACUUUGUAUACAACAUGUACAUGCAUUUGAUACAGACUACACAUCAUUAUCAUCAGACUUUAUUACAACUACCACCUGCUAUGGUAGAAGAAGGUGAGGAAGUUCAAAAUCAAGAAACAGAAUUGGAAACAGAAGAAGAGGCCAUGACUGUUCAAGCUGACAUCAUACCCAGUCCAACAGACACCAGCUGCCGUCAAGAAACUCCAGCCUUUCAAACUGACACCACCCCCAGUGAGACAGGAGCCACUUCCACCCCAGAAGCCAUCCCUGCUUUGUCUGAGACCGCCCCUACUGUGGCAGGAGCUGUAUCUGCACCGGCAGAAGCUAACACACCUC
rnacentral:sRNA from 1 species